rnacentral:rRNA from 1 species
GAUCAAGCGUAAAGGGCGCGGGGUGGAUGCCUGGGCACAGGACGGCGAAGAAGGACGUGGCAAGCUGCGAAAAGCCACGGGGAGCUGCAAGCGAGCGUUGAUCCGUGGGUGUCCGA